CUUUGGAAUUUUGAUGCUCUGCUCCGCCUUCGAAAAAUUUAGUUAAUUUUGUCAAACGAUUUUGAUUCUUGUUUGCUCCUUUAUGUCUGGGAUAGUGGGAUUUCAGAUUAUUCAUUCAAAUUAGGGAGUGUGCUGAGUGUUGGUGGGAGUGGGCCUUUUGAACUCAGAUCGGGCGGCCAUGGCGGACACUUUCCUGAAGGCUGCGCCGCAGUCACGGCUUGGGAUCCCAAGGCUGUAUGGUUUGACGUCGUUGAUGAGAUGCUGACUUGAUCCGGAGGAUUGGUUGUGCAGCUAGCGGAAUUCACUACACUUUUGCUCCAUGUGUUGCUGUGAGUUUUGCUUCUGUGACUAUCUGCGUCUUCACUCUUUUAUAUUGCUAUGGAAUUAGUUCUUAACACUGCAUCUGUCCUUUUAUAAAACUGAUUUUAGUAGUUGGUAAAUUUUAUAAUUUGGAGAGAUAUAAAUGUUUUAAGAAAAAUGCCUC